GGGGGCGACUGGAUUCGACUGGGCAAUUGAAGUGUGGGUUGCAUGUCGUGGUUAGUCAGCAAGCCACGUUAAAAGCCGACUAAAAAACAAACGCCAAAAAUAAUAACAUGGCACUUGCCGCCUAAGAAGAGGCGACCGAGCUGAGGUAUCCAUAACAGAUGGAGGCCAAAAGUUGCGUAACAAAAAUCUGUUUGGUUCCGGUUCACUGGAGGUACGGCCGGGACGAGAUUUCGUUCCUACCUGGCUCUCGAAUCACCCUGUCGGUUGGGGGAGGAGAGAGCGAGAUUUAAAGAACCGAAUAAGCAUGUAGACGCUCACAGGGAGAUGUCGCAGGACGCGGGUUCGAUACCCGCCGCCUCCAUCA
rnacentral:tmRNA from 1 species